AGGAAUAUUGGUCAAUGGACGAGAGUCUGAACCAGCCAAGUAGCGUGAAGGAUGACUGCCCUAUGGGUUGUAAACUUCUUUUAUACGGGAAUAAAGUGAGUCACGUGUGGCUUUUUGUAUGUACCGUAUGAAUAAGCAUCGGCUAACUCCGUGCCAGCAGCCGCGGCAAUACGGAGGAUCCGAGCGUUAUCCGGAUUUAUUGGGUUUAAAGGGAGCGUAGGCGGGUUGUUAAGUCAGUUGUGAAAGUUUGCGGCUCAACCGUAAAAUUGCAGUUGAUACUGGCGACCUUGAGUGCAACAGAGGUAGGCGGAAUUCGUGGUGUAGCGGUGAAAUGCUUAGAUAUCACGAAGAACUCCGAUUGCGAAGGCAGCUUACUGGAUUGUAACUGACGCUGAUGCUCGAAAGUGUGGGUAUCAAACAGGAUUAGAUACCCUGGUAGUCCACACAGUAAACGAUGAAUACUCGCUGUUGGCGAUAUACAGUCAGCGGCCAAGCGAAAGCAUUAAGUAUUCCACCUGGGGAGUACGCCGGCAACGGUGAAACUCAAAGGAAUUGACGGGGGCCCGCACAAGCGGAGGAACAUGUGGUUUAAUUCGAUGAUACGCGAGGAACCUUACCCGGGCUUAAAUUGCAACUGACUGAAUCGGAAACGGUUCUUUCUUCGGACAGUUGUGAAGGUGCUGCAUGGUUGUCGUCAGCUCGUGCCGUGAGGUGUCGGCUUAAGUGCCAUAACGAGCGCAACCCUUAUCGAUAGUUACUAGCAGGUAAUGCUGAGGACUCUAUCGAGACUGCCGUCGUAAGAUGUGAGGAAGGUGGGGAUGACGUCAAAUCAGCACGGCCCUUACGUCCGGGGCUACACACGUGUUACAAUGGGGGGUACAGAAGGCAGCUACACGGCGACGUGGUGCUAAUCCCAAAAGCCUCUCUCAGUUCGGAUUGGAGUCUGCAACCCGACUCCAUGAAGCUGGAUUCGCUAGUAAUCGCGCAUCAGCCACGGCGCGGUGAAUACGUUCCCG
rnacentral:rRNA from 1 species